CCAUCAGCCUGGAAUAAGAGCAGACUCCCCAGGGGCCAUGGUUAUCUGGACACUCGGCACCCUUGACCAACCCAGACAAUGCAGAGGUGGAUUGGGGCCUGCCAAAGCCUCACAGUGGAAACCUCCAACAGAGCUCCACUGUUUCUUGUUUGGGAGAAAACCUGCUUUUCUAGGGUGGAUCUGGGGACCUGCCUCCGGAGACGCCACGCUGAUCUCAGCAGGAACGUCAGGAGGCACCCAAGUCCCACACGCCACGGCUGGAGCUUACAGCAGCAAACCACAGAGACUGAGCAGGAAGCAAGCACCGGAAGGGUCGGCGAUGCCCCCGCUGGGGGCCGAGGCAGGGCAGAGACGCAGGGAGAGAGCACAGGCCGGGCGGAGGGGUUGCACCAAGCAGGAGUCAGAAUUAAGGGCAUGGAGUCCCAGACUCCAUGCAAAUGGACACAGAGCAUCCGUGUCAUUUGCCCACCACCAGGCAGGUGGCUUUUUUGUGGAAUACUGUCUACAACAAUGGGAGAGAAGGCGGCACAGCACACUUGUCCACAGAUACUCACGUGGCACUUUCUGUGGCCUAAAGACACCCCCUCAGGACAGAUAGCCCUCCACCUUGGUCCGCAGGUGCGAAAGACGGUGUCCUUGAAAUGAAAAGGAGACACACGUGCCCAGAAGGAAGUAACCCAAGGGGGAGCUGGGCAUGGAAGGCCCAGGAGGCCAGGGUGUCUGGACUUGGGGGACACAAGCCCCUCCACCAUGACCCUGCAUGCUGGAGGCUCAGCUCUCAAGGAGGGCAGAUGGCCACCCAGCAGAGUUGAAAACACUUGGAAGUGAAAGGUGAAGAGGAACGAGAAGUCUGGGGAUGAUAUCUCAUAUGAACUCUAUUUCCUUCUUUUCUGUGUUCUUAUUCUGGCAUCUGGAUCCUCACCAACCAAGGAGAGACUGCCCCUCCCAGGCCAGCCAAUUCUUAGCCUUUCAUAUGCAAAGAAACCAAUCCAGAGCCCAGAUGCAGAACCCCCUCCCCUCCCCUGCCCGGUUCUUGCACUCAGAAGGCACCAUCCCCCUGCCCUAGCUAACCAUCCCAGGGCCAGGGACCAGACAGCCAGAGACAGCUCGACACCCCGCAGCCUGCCGCAACUGUCCAAGUCCGCCAAUUCCAAACCUGCUGACCCUGCCUGGCUUUGCCUUUCCCAUGGAAACCACCAUAAAGGUUCCUGACCAUCCCCUCCCCUCAACCAGAUAGCCUUCUGUCUCCUGAUCCACCUUGGUGCUGCCCCGUGUGACUCCCCACGGUGUGCCAUGGCCCUGUUGGGAACCAACCGUUCAUGGCAGCAUCCCCUGACUUGUCUGUUGGCCUCAGUGAACCUGAACAAUAAUAAAACCUACGUAUGAAAACACAUCUCCCCAUCAUCUACGUAUUUCCCGGUUUCCUUCUGUGCUCUGGACCAGCAGACACGAAAAGAUUUCUCAAUAUAUAUACACACAAUAAACUGUCACCAUAAAACCUUCCCGGGAAACAUGCAUUCAUUCCAACUAACAGAGAGUUUCUCAGAAACCCCUGAUGAAGGGCACCCAAACUGAAGUGGUUUCCCAAGGCCUUCACUUUCCCGGGUACUGAGUGCAGAGAAAGACAACCGGCGCCAAGCUAGCCAUUUGGAGCUCAGGGGUCCUGCUUUCUGGUGGGUCCAGCCUCGCCUCCCAGCAAAGCUGAGUUUCUAAGAGGAAGGGGCUAUACCUGAUUUGGUUUAUAGAUACGAAAACUAUAGGGAGGCUGAACAUAGGCUGAGGGAGUCCUAGGGGUUUUAUCACUUAUUUGCUGUUCUUGAUGAA